GUCUACGGCCAUACCACCCUGAAUGCGUCAGAUCUCGUCUGAUAUCGGAAGCUAAGCAGGGUCAGGCCUAGUUAGUACUUGAUGGGAGAACAGGUCUUAUCUC
rfam:Ailuropoda melanoleuca scaffold554_20, whole genome shotgun sequence.